GGAUAGCUCAGUCAGUAGAGCACAAGACUCCUAAUCUCAGGGUUGUGGGUUCGAGCACCACAUUGGACA